UGGUAGGGUAAGUAAAUAAUUGAAUAUUAGCCUACAAUAACAAAAACAAACUACAAGUACAUAUAUAUGAGUGUUUAUCACAGACAUAAUAUUGAAUGAAAGAAGCCAAACAUAAAAGAGAACAUAUUUUAUGAUUCUAUUUAUAUGAAACAUAAAAAUAUAUAAAACUAAUCUAUGCUAUUAGAAGUCAGGGGAAUGGUUGCCCUUUAAGGGUUAGUGAACAGAAGGUCCCACAAGGGGGCUUUUGAGGUACUGGUAAUAUUAGGUUUCUUGUCUGGAUGCUAUCUAUAUUUAUGAUUUGAACGCUUUAUGUGUAUUUCACUGUAAAGUUUUAAAAAAAUAACAGUAAAUACAAGAAAGCCCACAUAAGUUCUGAUAUUUCCCCCAUGAUAACUACUUUGAUGCUUUUUGAGGGAAAUAAUAUCAAAUUCUUUCAAAAAUCUUUUUUCUGCCCAUUUUUUGAACUCUUGCUUUGCUGGUACUCUUGCAUUUGUAAUAGCAACUUAAGUAAGAGACUAGACCAGGUGUGGGGUCUGUCUGGGAAGCCUUCUUGAAAGAGAUGAAGCUGGACCUGAAUUUUGUAGCAUCCAUUGGAGGCAGCCAGGGGAGCAAGUGGAGAGCAGAGAGUUCCAGGCAGAAAGGCGAGGCUGCUGGCAAGCAUGAAGUUGUGGUGAGGGAAAAAAGAACCCAUUGGGAGGGGCCAGAAAUGGCUUGCUACAGCUGGAACUUAAAGAGUGGCCGAGGAGGGGUUAGAAGUGGUAAGAAAGAUAGUUUGCCAGAGGCCAGAUUGAGAAGGGCCUGGAAGGGUUAUACUACUGUUUGGACUUGAUCCUGUGGGCAUCUGGGAGCCAGUGAACAAUUUAAACCAGUGACACAAUUAGGUUUCUCUUUAAUUAAGAGUAAGCUGGUGAUGGUGUGAAGGCCACUUGGAGAGGGAUAAGACUGAAGCCUGGGGGACCAGUUAAGAGGCCAUGCCAAUAAUUCAUGGGAGAUAUGAUGUGCUGGUGGCAUGGGAUGGAGAGGUGGGGAGAGAAAUGAGAGCUAUUGAGGAGACAACUGUCCAGACGGGACUUGAUAAUUGACAGGUUUGGAAUUGAUAUGUAGGCAUGGUGCUUUUUUUCUCGAGAAACAAAAUUGGAACUUCUAAUUUGAUAAAUGAUGAAACACAUCUGUCUUUCCCCUUUAAUACUGUUCUACAGUGACAGAGGUCAAAGGAUAUUGCUGUGACGAACAAGAGAAAGCUUAUCAAUUACUUCCCAUUGCUUCUUAGAAUGAAAACUCAAUGACACGUUUCAUAUUUUUUCAGUGGAGGAUCCUGUAGGUCGUGUUAUGCACUAGCACGCAAACUUCUUGAUUUUGCCAAAUGAGUCAGUUGAGAGGGAAAAGGUAAUUUAUCCAAGAAGCCCUGUGUUUAAUGACAUUCUGGAAAUAGAAAAAAUGUUGAACCUGUAUUCAGUGUCGUAUACUGUUGUAAACAAAAAACAAUUGUGCAUGUGUUUAUAUGAUUAUUUAGGUACAAAAAUUUGUAUACACACAUAUGAAUAAACAUACACAUAUGUAUAUAUACACUUGCACAUAUAUAUAUAUAUAUGCACACUGGAAACCUAUACUACUAUGCAAUACCCUUGAGAUUUUAGAUACAGAGAUUAUCUAGUAUAUAAAGAAUAACAAAUUUUUAUUUAAUUUCCCUCUCUUUUUAAGGGUUACAUUUGGGUGGGAGAGGAUCUGGAGGAUAUUUUCCUUACUUUAAUUACCUCAUUGCGUUCCUUCCUUUCAAUUUUGGUUUUUAUAAAUGGGAACACUGCAUUAAUCUAUUCUAAUUAAAAAUCAGCCAUGCAACCCUUCAGUUAAAGAAACAAUUUUCAGUCUGCCUAGGAUACCAUUUUGUCAGAAAUUGCCUCUAUUGCUUUUGGAAUUAACACCACUGCAGUGCUGUGGUGACCACUGGGCAACAGCUUUACUAGUUGAUUUUAUGCUAAAAAUAUCAGGAAUUGGCCAAGAGUCUUUGCUCUGGAGAAGGGUUCAGAGCUCUUCCAUGGGGGCCUAACAGAGUGUGGACAUUUCUAUUCCUACAGUAAAAGAAGAGGGGGAGUUAUGGAAGGGGCGACAAGGAAAGACCUAAGUUCAUCUCCUGCUUGUCCACAGAACAGCUCUUCACCUUCCGGCUGCCAGAGGAGCUAUGCUAUUCUUAGCCAUCUCCUGCAAAGGAUGCUAAACUUGGAACAUUUUAUCAUGAAGUUAACAGUGAAGACUCCCAGAUGACUUUGUAUUGGAGAAGAGAAAAGAAAAAAAAAUGUGAAUCCUACCUUAUGUCAGAGGAGGCUUUGAAGCUAUAAUGGACACAGAUCUAAAUUAAAGUAGUGCUGCUGGAAAGCAGCUGCCCAGCCAGAGACUACAUUCCCCAGACCCCUGUGCAUCUAGGCGGGGCCACGUGAUUGAGUUCUGGCCGAUCGGAUGUAUGUGGAAUUGAUCUAUACCAUAUCUGGACUUCAUUCUUAGAUGCUUUCAAGGGAUCCUCCACUCUCUCUCCUCCCAUCUAAUAGCUGGGUGUCAAUACCCAAGGUGAUCUUAGAAGCCGCUUGUUGAACACCAGAGAAGAACUUCCUUUUCCUUUGAACUUUGAAUGACUACCUGGAGCAGCGCAUCAUCCUUUCCCACCUUCAACCUUUGAUUGGACUUCUUAUGAAUGAGAAAUAAACUUCUGUGUAAAGCCAUUGAGACUUUGAGGCUUGUCUGAAACUGCACGCAGCAUAUAUAUAUACUUCCCCCUUGAUUUAUAGAUAAGACACUAGACAGAGAGAGGUUUUGUAGCUUUCCUGAUGUCACACAGUAAGUAAAUGGC
ensembl:lncRNA